GCAAGUCGAGCGCUACCUUCGGGUGGAGCGGCGGACGGGUUAGUAACGCGUGGGAAUAUGCCCUUCUCUAUGGAAUAGCCAUUGGAAACGAUGAGUAAUACCAUAUACGCCCUUCGGGGGAAAGAUUUAUCGGUGAUGGAUUAGCCCGCGUCUGAUUAGAUAGUUGGUGGGGUAAUGGCCUACCAAGUCUACGAUCAGUAGCUGGUUUUAGAGGAUGAUC
rnacentral:rRNA from 1 species